AUGAGGAUGAUUCGUGCCAUCCGGAACAAGCACAUUGUGCCACUGCGGCGGUAUUACUACAACACGGAUGAGAAGAUGCUAGUGUAUGAUAUGAUCCCCAUGGGUAGCCUAGCAAAAGUACUCCAUGGUUAUCGAAUCCCCGGCACGACUCCGCUGGACUGGGAGCAGCGGUUGGCCAUCUCACUCGCUGCUGCACGUGGUGUGGCGGCUAUCCACUUAGCUGGACCAUCGAGCUGCCAUGGCAACAUCAAGUCUUCCAAUAUCCUGCUCACCGGCACCCACAAUGCAUGUGUGUCGGAGCACGGCCUGAUGCCACUUGGCGUGUAUUCCAAUGCCUCCGGCUACAGCGCGCCUGAGAUCUCCGGCAAUAGGUCAGUCUCCCAGAAAGCCGACAUGUACAGCUUUGGCAUCCUACUGCUGGAGCUUCUCACUCGCAAGGAUCCAGCAAAGAGCACACAAAAUGAGGAGGGAUUAGAUUUGGCACAAUGGGCAUGGUCUGUUGUACGCAAGGAGUGGACGAUGGAGGUCUUUGACGUGGAGCUCCAGCCCCUAGGACGGGAGCAGAAGGCCGGGGAAGAGGAGAGCAUGGUGCAACUUCUGCAGCUCGCCAUAAACUGUUGUAGUCACUAUGCUGACUCGAGGCCUACGAUGUCUGAUGUUGUGCAAAAGAUUCCACGAAGUCCUGACUCCUGA
rnacentral:rRNA from 1 species